rnacentral:rRNA from 1 species
UACGUAGGUGGCAAGCGUUUAUCCGGAAUUAUUGGGCGUAAAGCGCGCGCAGGCGGUUUCUUAAGUCUGAUGUGAAAGCCCACGGCUCAACCGUGGAGGGUCAUUGGAAACUGGGGAACUUGAGUGCAGAAGAGAAAAGCGGAAUUCCACGUGUAGCGGUGAAAUGCGUAGAGAUGUGGAGGAACACCAGUGGCGAAGGCGGCUUUUUGGUCUGUAACUGACGCUGAGGCGCGAAAGCGUGGGGAGCAACAGG